AGAACGUGAACUGGCUGCCAAGAUGGAGGGGAAGGAACAAUUAAUCUUUACCUUCUACUGUCCCAAGGUUCCCAAAGUCAAGGGGUACCGGAAAUACCAAAGGCCUACCCUCCCCACCAACCAACAUCCGAGUGCCUCGAUGCCACCCCAGAGGCUGCAGCAUCAUGUGGAUCAGACACACACCUACAUCCGAAUGUUCUGUGGCAGCCUCUGUGGUUUUAGCCUCCUAAUGCUGAUCUGCAUGUCCCCACUGAACUGGGUGCAGUUCCUGGUGAUCAACAAUGGCCUUGAGCUCUACACAGGACUCUGGAUCUCAUGCAACCAUGAGCUGUGCUGGAGCCACACACCCAAGCCACCCUAUCUUUUGCCCCUCACCUCUCUAAGUCUAGGAGGGCUCUCAGCCAGAUUGUGAACAUGGCCUUUCUUCUCUAUGGUGUCCUUGGUGUACCCUUUCUCCCUCCUACCCCAGGUUGUUUCCUCUCCCAAAUUAUGAGUUGAUAGUCUCUUUACCCUCUGGGAAGAACUCGUUUGUCAUUUAUGAGCCUGUUCCUGUGAUGCAAAGAGAUUGUUAUUCUAAUGUGGUUCGCAGAACCAGAAAUGAUUGAUCAUAGCUGGGAGAUAGAGCAAAGUGUCUCAACCUCCAUCAGAUUUAACUUUCAAGAUUACCUCCAAUAUUCCAGGGCCUUCUUCCUCAUCUCUGUCCUCACCAUACUUGUUGCUCUUGGCUGGCUCUUCAGAUCUUGCCUCCCUAGAAGAGGAAGAAUGACUCCUAACUUGGAUCUGAAGGUAUCCAUGCUCAGCUUCAUCUCAGCCUCCUGCUUGCUCCUCUGCCUCAUCCUAUUUCUGGCACAGGUUCACUGGCAUUCUAGGGAUGCCAUGGAGUCAGCUCUCCUAUGGACCUAUCAUAUGAAUUGGGGGAGUGACUUCUUAUACAUGUUUGCUGGGAUUAUCUCCUUCCUCAACCACAUAACUUCCAGAUCUCCUCCCCUUGAUCAAAAUGUCACUGCAGUUCCCAUAGACAAGUCAAGGCUGGGGAUUGGUCCAGUGACUACAGUAUCACCUGCUGAAGAUGCUGGGUCAGGGUCUCAGACAGAAUCUACAAGUGAGAAAGAGAAAAAACUAUCAAGUACAGAACUGUGAUGGUGAUAGGAUAACCCAACUACUUCCUGUCUUAAAACAGGGGAGAAGCUAACUGAGUAGGGAAUGAUUGUGCAGAUUCGAGGAAACUCUCCUAAUAUCAUGGCCAUAUUACUGAAGGAGAGAGCAUUAAAGCUGAUGAAAUGUC